ACGGGGCCCGCACAAGCGUGGAGUAUGUGGUUUAAUUCGAUGCAACGCGAAGAACUUACCUGGUCUUGACAUCCCGGAGACCCUUAGGAAACUAGGGGUGCUUCCAUCUGGAAGAAUCUGGAGACAGGUGCUGCAUGGCUGUCGUCAGCUCGUGUCGUGAGAUGUUGGGUUAAGUCCCGCAACGAGCGCAACCCUUGCCUUUAGUUGCCAGCAGUUCGGCUGGGCACUCUAAAGGGACUGCCGGUGUUAAACCGGAGGAAGGUGGGGAUGACGUCAAGUCCUCAUGGCCUUUAUGACCAGGGCUACACACGUACUACAAUGGCCGAUACAAAGGGCAGCGACACUGCGAGGUGAAGCCAAUCCCGUAAAAUCGGUCUCAGUCCGGAUUGGAGUCUGCAACUCGACUCCAUGAAGUUGGAAUCGCUAGUAAUCGUGGAUCAGCAUGCCACGGUGAAUACGUUCCCGGGCCUU
rnacentral:rRNA from 1 species